UACAGAGGGUGCGGGCGUUAAUCGGAAUUACUGGGCGUAAAGCGUGCGUAGACGGUUGCGUAAGUCGGAUGUGAAAUCCCCGGGCUCAACCUGGGAAUUGCAUUCGAGACUGCGUAGCUGGGGUGCGGAAGAGGGAAGCGGAAUUUCCGGUGUAGCGGUGAAAUGCGUAGAUAUCGGAAGGAACAUCAGUGGCGAAAGCGGCUUCCUGGUCCAGCACCGACGUUCAGGCACGAAAGCGUGGGGAGCAAACAGG
rnacentral:rRNA from 1 species